AUGGAUGCCCAUUAUAAGACCCAU
rnacentral:siRNA from 1 species